rnacentral:rRNA from 1 species
CCUACGGGAGGCAGCAGUGAGGAAUAUUGGUCAAUGGGCGGGAGCCUGAACCAGCGAAGCCGCGUGAGGGAAGGAGGUACAGCGUAUCGUAAACCUCUUUUGUCAGGGAACAACGGCGCGGACUAGUCCCCGGAUGAGGGUACCUGAAGAAAACGCAUCGGCUAACUCCGUGCCAGCAGCCGCGGUAAUACGGGGGAGGCGAGCGUUAUCCGGAUUUAUGGGGGUAAAUGGGUGCGCAGGCGGCCUGUUAAGGCAGCGGUAAAAGCCCGGGGCUCAACCCCGGCGAGCCGUUGAAACUGGCGGGCUGGAGUGGGAGAGAAGUACGCGGAAUGCGCGGUGUAGCGGUGAAAUGCUUAGAUAGCGGGCAGAACCCCGAUUGCGAAGGCAGCGUACCGGCGCCACACUGACGCUGAGGCACGAAAGCGUGGGUAUCGAACAGGAUUAGAGACCCUAGUAGUC